GUUAUUUGGGACUACGCUAUUAGUUUAAGUCCUUCGAGGACUCCGUUAUUAAGGUGAUGACACCUGUGGAUACUCCUCUAGUCUACAGCUCUGUCGCUAGUGAUUAAACAAUCCUUAGAGUCAUGGGAUAGUGUGACUAGCUGAACAAGCCUUGACGG
rnacentral:ncRNA from 1 species